rnacentral:rRNA from 1 species
UACAGAGGGGGCAAGCGUUAUUCGGAAUUAUUGGGCGUAAAGGGCGCGUAGGCGGUUUCUUAAGUCGGAUGUGCAAUCCCCAGGCUCAACCUGGGAACUGCAUCCGAGACUGGGAGGCUAGAGUACUGGAGAGGGUGGUGGAAUUCCUCGUGUAGCGGUGAAAUGCGUAGAGAUGAGGAGGAACACCAGUGGCGAAGGCGGCCACCUGGACAGUAACUGACGCUGAGGCGCGAAAGCGUGGGUAGCAAACAGG